CCACUUUAACCGUUAAUGCAGUAGUCAGUACACUGUACCGUGUACGUUCUUUCUUGUUGUUUUCAUUGGUAACCAAGUGUCCUUUGUACUUAGCCCAACUCAAGAGCCUCUUGCUCUCAAGCAAGCAGAGUGGCGCAGUGGAAGCGUGCUGGGCCCAUAACCCAGAGGUCCGAGGAUCGAAACCUUGCUCUGCUAUGUGUCAUGUCUAGAAGAUUAUACAGCUGACAACUGCUGUUCAGCAGUCGGGUAAUUGGCGGUUUGAUGCGGCCCAAAAAACAAAUAUCGUUAGACACAUUAGCUAGCUAGUAUAUGGCAAACUGGUUUCCAUCGAACAGCUGUAAACACAAGGGGGCGAACAAGAGAUGAAUAGAGCUUAGAAGAAGACGUUGACUUUAAAAGUCAAACGAUGCUUUGGCCAUAGCACCAGCAAGUUUUCUCAUUUCGAAUGUUUAUUUAUGAAAUUUAAGUGUUUUGCCUAAUUAA